CAGCCGCCCUGACCAGCAGGCACCAUCCUCCCAGCCACGCUCAGCUGCCCUGACCAGCGGGCACCAUCCUCCCAGCCUCACUCGGCCGCCCUGAUCAGAGGGCUGCCCUGACCAGCAGGCAACAUCCUCCCAGCCUCGCUUGGUCGGCCAGGCUCUGCGGGCCUCAGAGUGCAGGGAAUCUCUGAAUGUUGUGACUUUGCUCUCCUGCAGGGACCUGCCAUGGAGUGUCCCUUGUGCAAGCAUUUUGUGAGCUAUGCCAGCAUCUGUCCCCACACGCCCCAUCCCUGAGCCAUUUCCCAGGAGAGCAGGAAGUGAGCACAGGGAGGGGCACUCCCAGCCAGCCCUGGGACCAGAGGUCUGGGGACGCAGCCGGCCACCACGGCAGAGCCCUACUAGUCUGGGCCUCUGUUUCCUCUUCCACACAGGGAAGCAGGGAGGGGCUGAUCAGCAACUUAGGCUUGUUGGCUCUGGCGGAGGCCACCUGCAUUUCUGGGGAGCCCAUGGACCCUGGGGUGCGUGUGGGCUUUAUUCCCAGUGACCUCUCCUAUUGGUCCCCAUUCUGGGCACUGAGAUGUGAUUGUUUCUUUCCUGUGAAUGAGCUGACAUCAAAACAUGCUGCAGAGGAAGAUGGGCCUUAGGGGCAGCAUCCUGCGCCUCUGCACCAGGAGGAAGGUUGUGUCCCCAGGGGAGACUCAGAGCUGAGGCGGUGAUGGGCAGGGCUCCUGUGGAGCCAGGGUGGGGCAGGGUGUCUCCAAGGUCACUGGGGAACAGCUGAGGCCCAGGGAACACAGGGAGGAUGGGGUGCGCUCCAGGAUCAGGCAGUCAGGGAGCCUCUUGCU
rnacentral:lncRNA from 1 species